UCGACGCGUCCAAGCUCUCGAAGGCGAUUUCGCUCUCAAGGACAACUCGAGCGGCGAAUAAGACGCAAUAUCUUAGGACACGUGGUGACCGAUGCGCACGUCUCCAACCAGUCUGAGAACCGAUACGGAAUCCCAAAGAGAGAAGCGCCGUUGGCUUGCGCGUGAGUCCACACGUAACUUCCACGCGUAGGAUAUUCUUUACUUCGAUAGACGGGCAUCGCUUAAUCACGCUCAAAUAUGAUUCAAGAAUGAGAGAGAGAGAGAGAGAGAGAGAGAGAGA